GACGAACGCUGGCGGCGUGCUUAACACAUGCAAGUCGAACGGAAAGGCCCUGCUUUUGUGGGGUGCUCGAGUGGCGAACGGGUGAGUAACACGUGAGUAACCUGCCCUUGACUUUGGGAUAACUUCAGGAAACUGGGGCUAAUACCGGAUAGGAGCUCCUGCUGCAUGGUGGGGGUUGGAUAGUUUCGGCGGUUGGGGAUGGACUCGCGGCUUAUCAGCUUGUUGGGGGGGUAGUGGCUUACCAAGGCUUUGACGGGUAGCCGGCCUGAGAGGGUGACCGGCCACAUUGGGACUGAGAGACGGCCCAGACUCCUACGGGAGGCAGCAGUGGGGAAUAUUGCACAAUGGGCGGAAGCCUGAUGCAGCAACGCCGCGUGCGGGAUGACGGCCUUCGGGUUGUAAACCGCUUUCGCCUGUGACGAAGCGUGAGUGACGGUAAUGGGUAAAGAAGCACCGGCUAACUACGUG
rnacentral:rRNA from 1 species